GCCAGCAUAGUGUAAUGGUUUGCGCAUUGGACUGUGACUCUAGAGACCAGGGUUCAAAUCCCGGCUGGGGCA
rnacentral:tRNA from 1 species